AUUGAACGCUGGCGGCAGGCCUAACACAUGCAAGUCGAACGGUAACAGGAAGAUUCUUGCUUCUUUGCUGACGAGUGGCGGACGUGUGAGUAAUGACUGUGCAACUUCCUGAUGGAGGGGGUUAACUACUGGAAACGGUAGCUACUACCGCAUAGCGUCGCAAAGCCAAAGAGGGUGACCUUCGGGCCUCUUGCAUUCGGCUAUGCCCAGAUGGGAUUAGCUAGUAGGUGGGGUAAAGGCUCACCUAGGCGACGAUCCCUAGCUGGUCUGAGAGGAUGAACAGCCACACUGGAACUGAGACACGGUCCAGACUCCUACGGGAGGCAGCAGUGGGGAAUAUUGCACAAUGGGCGCAAGCCUGAUGCAGCCAUGCCGCGUGUAUGAAGAAGGUCUUCGGGUUGUAAAGUACUUUCAGCGGGGAGGAAGGGAGUAAAGUUAAUACCUUGGCUCAUUGACGUUACCCGCAGAAGAAGCACCGGCUAACUCCGUG
rnacentral:rRNA from 1 species